UAGCGCGGUGGUCCCACCUGAUCCCAUGCCGAACUCAGAAGUGAAACGCCGUAGCGCCGAUGGUAGUGUGGGGUCUCCCCAUGUGAGAGUAGGGA
rnacentral:rRNA from 1 species